AAAUAGGUACUCACAAGCGUCUGUCUUUUAACGGCCAUUUUUAAAUCUUGCCGCAAAAUGACUUCAUGUGUUUUCCCCUGAAGUUUUAGCGAGAAUCAUGCCAUUUUAGUGUCAUUACAUGACAUUUAAGGGAAAAGGGAUAAUGCAAUCACUUGCUUAUAAGGUAUUAAAUAAGAAGAAGAAGAAGAAGAAAAUGGGUAUCUCUAUGAAGCUUCAAUUCAGCCUGUAACUACACAUUGGACACAAGAAGAAGACGAAGAAGAAGAAGCAGGGAGCAGAGCAGAAACUAUACAAAAGGGUGCCUGAAAAAGAGAUCAAGAAGAUGCAAGCAAUAAAAGAACUAUGGAAGGAGGCCCAAAAAAGGAAUGAGAUUUCCAUAAA